ensembl:lncRNA
AUUUAAACCAAUUAGAAGCUAAAAACGACACGCAUGUUUUCCAAUGAUUCAUGACUGAGGACACAGACAACUGGAAACCGACGGCAACAACGCGCUUACAUCCCGCUAACGGAAUGCGUCCGGUUAGCUCGACACAACGCGAAUGCGGCGGCGGGAAGAGGCGGCGUUAAUCCAGAUUGACAUGUCCCGCAGACGAAGAGCAGGCGAAGGCGUGCCGAUUUGUGGCGGCUGGGAUCUACUUGCCUUCCGGAGGACAAAAAGGGGGCCUUAAAAAACACGAGCUCACAGGGUAUUUUCGGCGGCGUGUUCUUCGAGCCCGCGUGGUUCCGGCACUCCGCUCUUCCUGUUUGUGCUGUGGAUGAGAAAGCGAUGUCACCGAUGGGGUUUGAUGUCUUACAAAGAACCGCGCGGCACGAUCACAAACGGCUCACCGUAAAAAACAAAAAAGCCUCCUUUUGAGCCCGGAGAGCACGAGUCCAUUUCCGGAUGGGUGAAAAAAAACAACAGAAUCAAAAUCUGCUGAAUCUGCUGGACCAAACGGAUCAAAAUGAAUAAAAAGAGGGCAUUUACUUUACAAUUCUGAAAACAUCGAAUGUCAUCAAAAGACCACAGGAAUGCGCAACUGUUUUUGUUGUUUCUGUCGUGUAGCAUAAAUGGGCUGCGUUGCGUUGUGUGUGUUGCAGAAUAAACGGUCGUGUAGAGCAUCGUACUCAGGGUACAAAUUACCAGAAGAGAAGGUCUCGUGAAAAAAUAUCUAAAGAAGAAAGACGAGGCCACCGAGGGGAAGGAGUAGCAGUCAACUGAUAUGAUUGUUCCAUUAUUGUGUAAAAGGGCCUCUAAUGAACACUUGAUUGUGAACGACGUUUUUUAUUGGGAAAAGGCUGAAGCAGCAUUGACAUGCAAUCAGUCGGAAGAUAUCCAAUUUAGCUUCCUUUGUCCGCUGCAAAGUGUGUUAAUCACGCUUACAUAUCUUCCAUAACUCGGGUUGUUCUCCAGCCUCGGAAACGUCAACAUGGGGAUGUGAUUUCUCUACGAUGAGAAGCAGCAAAUACUCAUCGUCAUUACGUUUGGAUCUAUUCGCAGAUCCAACAUGGAGCGAGUUUGACCCAUAACGAAUGAAUGGUUCAUGGCCGCUGCAGGGAAAUCUGAAUCGACGGGAUAUUUACUCAGUAUUCUUAUACUCGUACUUAACUAUUUCUAAUCUUCCUCUGUGGGGAUCUUUUAUCUUAAAAAUGUAAACAGCGCUUUCUUCUAUUUACUCACAAUGGAGCAAUUUAAACAUGUUGUGUUUUUACUUCUACUGUUGUUUUUCUAUCACCAUCAUUUCACUCUGUUUUCUUGUAUAAUUACUUUAUUCAGACUUGACUUUAAUAAAGAAAGACAUCUAAUUCUCAAUGUUUAUUCUUCCUGUAGUUACUCCGUAGCAAAUUUAAUUAAUCCUGCCCUCCAUCCCAAUCAUUUUCGAGGAGCUAAUGGAAGUCUGAAGAGGAAAAAAUAGCACGUUAGGAACGAGUGCAGCUCGGCCGCAUAAUUGUCAGGAUAUUUCUAUUAUUCGCAUCUGAU